CACUCAAACAAAUAACGGUGGAGAUUCAAAUCAUAUUACUCGACCAAACCACAAAGCACACUGACAUUUGCCAUUUGGUUGACUUUCUAUUUACAUCCUAAACAUAAACAACGGGAUUGAACAUAAACAAUCGAGCAGAUCAAAAGCCAACAAAAGGGCGAAAAGGCAAAACAGCGUUGUAAAUAUUAUAAAAAAAAAUGAACAAAAAAAAUAGUAACUUACCACCGCUUCUUUGACUCAUCUAUCGCAAAAUUUAGAGUAUAUUUUGAGACUUUUAAUGAGUUGGUCACAGGUCACUUCCC